UACGUAGGGGCCUAGCGUUGUCCGGAAUUAUUGGGCGUAAAGAGCUCGUAGGCGGUUCGGCAAGUCGGAUGUGAAAUCUCCACGCUUAACGUGGAGGGGCCAUUCGAAACUGCUGUGACUCGAGUCCGGUAGGGGAGUGUGGAAUUCCCGGUGUAGCGGUGAAAUGCGCAGAUAUCAGGAGGAACACCAAUGGCGAAGGCAGCACUCUGGGACGUGACUGACGCUGAGACGCGAAAGCGUGGGGAGCAACAGG
rnacentral:rRNA from 1 species